rnacentral:rRNA from 1 species
UAAGGAAUAUUGGUCAAUGGGCGGAAGCCUGAACCAGCCAUGCCGCGUGCAGGAAGACGGCCCUACGGGUUGUAAACUGCUUUUAUACCGGAAUAAACCUCUUUACGUGUAAGGAGCUGAAUGUACGGUAAGAAUAAGGAUCGGCUAACUCCGUGCCAGCAGCCGCGGUAAUACGGAGGAUCCAAGCGUUAUCCGGAUUUAUUGGGUUUAAAGGGUGCGUAGGCGGCCUAUUAAGUCAGGGGUGAAAGACGGUAGCUUAACUAUCGCAGUGCCUUUGAUACUGAUGGGCUUGAAUGUACUUGAGGUAGGCGGAAUGUGACAAGUAGCGGUGAAAUGCAUAGAUAUGUCACAGAACACCAAUUGCGAAGGCAGCUUACUAAAGUAUGAUUGACGCUGAGGCACGAAAGCGUGGGGAUCAAACA